AUACGGAGGAUCCGAGCGUUAUCCGGAUUUAUUGGGUUUAAAGGGUGCGCAGGCGGCCAUUUAAGUCAGCGGUUAAAUCGUGGGGCUCAACCCCAUUCUGCCGUUGAUACUGGGUGGCUUGAUUGCGGUCGAGGUUGGCGGAAUUCGUUGUGUAGCGGUGAAAUGCAUAGAUAUGACGAAGAACACCGAUUGCGUAGGCAGCUGACCAGACCGCAAAUGACGCUCAUGCACGAAAGUGCGGGGAUCGAACAGGAUUAGAUACCCUGGUAGUCCGCACAGUAAUCGAUGAACACUUGUUUUCGGCGAUAUAAUGUCGGAGGCAAAGCGAAAGCGAUAAGUAUUCCACCUGGGGAGUACGCCGGCAACGGUGAAACUCAAAUGAAUUGGCGGGG
rnacentral:rRNA from 1 species